AGUGAACGCUGGCGGUAGGCCUAACACAUGCAAGUCGAACGGCAGCACAGUAAGAGCUUGCUCUUACGGGUGGCGAGUGGCGGGCGGGUGAGGAAUACAUCGGAAUCUACCUUUUCGUGGGGGAUAACGUAGGGAAACUUACGCUAAUACCGCAUACGACCUACGGGUGAAAGCAGGGGAUCUUCGGACCUUGCGCAAUUGAAUGAGCCGAUGUCGGAUUAGCUAGUUGGCGGGGUAAAGGCCCACCAAGGCGACGAUCCGUAGCUGGUCUGAGAGGAUGAUCAGCCACACUGGAACUGAGACACGGUCCAGACUCCUACGGGAGGCAGCAGUGGGGAAUAUUGGACAAUGGGCGCAAGCCUGAUCCAGCCAUACCGCGUGGGUGAAGAAGGCCUUCGGGUUGUAAAGCCCUUUUGUUGGGAAAGAAAAGCAGCAGGUUAAUACCCCGCUGUUCUGACGGUACCCAAAGAAUAAGCACCGGCUAACUUCGUG
rnacentral:rRNA from 1 species